GAUUGAACGCUGGCGGCAGGCUUAACACAUGCAAGUCGAACGAUGAMUCUCUAGCUUGCUAGAGAWGAUUAGUGGCGGACGGGUGAGUAACAUUUAGGAAUCUGCCUAGUAGUGGGGGAUAGCUCGGGGAAACUCGAAUUAAUACCGCAUACGACCUACGGGUGAAAGGGGGCGCAAGCUCUUGCUAUUAGAUGAGCCUAAAUCAGAUUAGCUAGUUGGUGGGGUAAAGGCCCACCAAGGCGACGAUCUGUAACUGGUCUGAGAGGAUGAUCAGUCACACCGGAACUGAGACACGGUCCGGACUCCUACGGGAGGCAGCAGUGGGGAAUAUUGGACAAUGGGGGCAACCCUGAUCCAGCCAUGCCGCGUGUGUGAAGAAGGCCUUUUGGUUGUAAAGCACUUUAAGCAGGGAGGAGAGGCUAAUGGUUAAUACCCAUUAGAUUAGACGUUACCUGCAGAAUAAGCACCGGCUAACUCUGUGCC
rnacentral:rRNA from 1 species